rnacentral:RNase_P_RNA from 1 species
GGUGUGGGUUGUCUUAUCGCUGGCUCGGCAACGAGCUGGAGGAAAGUCCGGACAGCGCAGAGCACCAUACUUCCUAACGGGAAGGCAGGCGGUUGGGAACGACCGUCUGACAGCCAGUGUCACAGAAAAUAAACCGCCUGACAGUGAGCAGUGAACAACUAACAGCUAACAGUGAAUAAACUGCUUGCUGUUGGCUGCUCACUGUUCACUGAAAAGGUAAGGGUGAAAUGGUGGGGUAAGAGCCUACCGCCCGCCGGGUGAUCGACGGGGCAGGAUAAACCUUAUGGGCUGAAAGACCAAAUAUGCGGCAGAAUAGGGGCGGCUCGUUCCUGUAGGUUCACCUUAGGGUGGAGUGAUGCUGGCGCGGGUAGGUCGAUAGAGAGCGUCGGUGACGGCGAUCCCAGAUAAAUGAUAAGAACCUUGGCCGCAAGGUUGAGUGACAGAAUCCGGCUUAUAGGCCCGGAUCGCUU